UACAGAGGUCUCAAGCGUUGUUCGGAUUCAUUGGGCGUAAAGGGUGCGUAGGUGGCGCGCUAAGUCGGGUGUGAAAUUUCGGAGCUUAACUCCGAAACUGCAUUCGAUACUGGCGUGCUUGAGGACUGGAGAGGAGACUGGAAUUCAUGGUGUAGCAGUGAAAUGCGUAGAGAUCAUGAGGAAGACCAGUGGCGAAGGCGGGUCUCUGGGCAGCAUCUGACACUGAGGCACGAAGGCCAGGGGAGCAAACGGG
rnacentral:rRNA from 1 species